UGAACCUGACCUGCCGGUACAAAUGCAGGCAUAAAAAAACAAGACAAAAAGACCCUGUGAAGCUUUAAAUGUAAAUCAACAAGCUGAUCAACACAUUUUUGGUUGGGGCAACCAAAGAAAAAUAUAAACCUCACAACCAGUCACAAGGCCAACAAGCCAACUGACAAGACAACAUACACCCAGUAUUACUGAUCAAAGAACCAAGUUACUCCAGGGAUAACAGCGCUACAUUCUUGAAAAGUCCAUAUCAACAAAAAUACCUACAACCUCGAUGUUGGAUUAGGGUACCCAGAUGGCGCAAAAGUUAUCAACGGUUCGUGUGUUCAACGAUUAAAA
rnacentral:rRNA from 1 species